UACGUAGGCAGCGAGCGUUGUUCGGAGUUACUGGGCGUAAAGGGUGUGUAGGCGGUUGUUUAAGUUUGGUGUGAAAUCUCCCGGCUCAACUGGGAGGGUGCGCCGAAUACUGAAUGACUUGGAGUGCGGGAGAGGAGAGUGGAAUUCCUGGUGUAGCGGUGAAAUGCGUAGAUAUCAGGAGGAACACCGGUGGUGUAGACGGCUCUCUGGACCGUAACUGACGCUGAGACACGAAAGCGUGGGUAGCAAACAGGG
rnacentral:rRNA from 1 species